rnacentral:rRNA from 1 species
GACGAACGCUGGCGGCGUGCCUAAUACAUGCAAGUCGAGCGAAGUUUUUCUGGUGCUUGCACCGGAAAAACUUAGCGGCGAACGGGUGAGUAACACGUAAAGAACCUGCCUCAUAGACUGGGACAACUAUUGGAAACGAUAGCUAAUACCGGAUAACAGCAUUAACUGCAUGGUUGAUGUUUAAAAGUUGGUUUUGCUAACACUAUGAGAUGGCUUUGCGGUGCAUUAGCUAGUUGGUGGGGUAAAGGCCUACCAAGGCGACGAUGCAUAGCCGACCUGAGAGGGUGAUCGGCCACACUGGGACUGAGACACGGCCCAGACUCCUACGGGAGGCAGCAGUAGGGAAUCUUCCGCAAUGGGCGAAAGCCUGACGGAGCAACGCCGCGUGAGUGAAGAAGGAUUUCGGUUCGUAAAGCUCUGUUGUUAGGGAAGAAUGAUUGUGUAGUAACUAUACACAGUAGAGACGGUACCUAACCAGAAAGCCAC